GCAGAUUCAUUGCGAAUGAAACAACAUGAAAGAUAACAAAGGGAAGACAUUAAGAUUGUUAACAGCAAGGUUUAGAGAUGCAAAGUACUAACAAGCGGACUAAGGUCCUGUUAAGAGCGGGAGGUACGAAUGAGCAAAUAAAAUGGUAAAACGAUCAACUCAUGUGACUUACAUGGAUUUAAGCAACACGAAGAGAAAACAACAUGUGUACGUAUAUAUAUCAGAAGAUCGAAAUCAUCUAUAGAAGAUGACUUCAAUUUUCGAGAUUGAACCAUAACUUUCACAGCCUAUCAAUCGAGAUAAUAGCGAAAUAAGCAUAUUAUAACGAUGAGAACAUUAAC
rnacentral:lncRNA from 1 species